UCACAGCCUAGUCCUUAACAGUAACGUGA
rnacentral:piRNA from 1 species